UACGGAGGGGGCUAGCGUUAUUCGGAAUUACUGGGCGUAAAGCGCACGUAGGCGGCUUUGUAAGUUAGAGGUGAAAGCCUGGAGCUUAACUCCAGAAUUGCCUUUAAGACUGCAUCGCUUGAAUCCAGGAGAGGUGAGUGGAAUUCCGAGUGUAGAGGUGAAAUUCGUAGAUAUUCGGAAGAACACCAGUGGCGAAGGCGGCUCUCUGGAACGCAACUGACGCUGAGACGCGAAAGCGUGGGGAGCAAACAGG
rnacentral:rRNA from 1 species